AUGGCUUCUGCACUUUGGAAGGCUGAGGUCCUGGGGCCUCUCCUGCCAACACUUCUGCUGGCAUUAGCAGCUGGGAAGCCUUUCAUCUCUCUGAAGGGCCCAGAGCAGAGGACGGUCACUUCAAAUUCCGUGACUUUUACCUGCACCGCUGGCCUUUUCAGCUCCAAGAACCUCAGUGUUAUCUGGUUGAAGGACAAUAAUGAACUUCCAGCCUCAGCCCCACAGCAGCUGCCUAUCAGCAAAGAUGUUUACUAUGUCACAAGCAAGUUAACGGUGGCAUUGACCAAACAAGAUAUCUUUUCUCAGAUCACCUGUGAAGUCACCCAUGGGGACCUCGAUGAGCCCCUAAAAAUGACCUUCAAUCUCUCUCAAGUGCUCCUAGUUAUCCCAACACUGAAGAUCACCUCAGAGCCCCCGGAGAUCCGUGAUCAUGCGCAUCAAAGUGUGAACCUCACUUGCCAUGUAAACCACUUCUACCCACAAAACUUGCAACUCACCUGGGCUAAGAAUGGGCACAACAUCCUGACUCCUAAGCUCUCUCAGGCCACCAGAAACUCUGAUGGGACAUACUCUCUAAAGCACACAUUGCAGGAAGAAGCCACAUCGGAUGAGAGCACCUUUAGCUGCCUGUUGUACCAGUAUGACCAGCAUCCACAGAGCAUCACCAUCACCCUGGGAGCACAGGCCUCCAUUGGGAAGCCUUUCAUCUCUCUGAAGGGUCCAGAGCAGAGGACGGUCACUUCAAAUUCCGUGCCUUUUAACUGCACCGCUGGUCCUUUCAGCUCCAAGAACCUCAGUGUUAUCUGGUUGAAGGACAAUAAUGAACUUCCAGCCUCAGCCCCACAGCAGCUGCCUAUCAGCAAAGAUGUUUACUACGUCACAAGUAAGGCAUGGGUGGAAUUGGCCAAACAAGACAUCUUUUCUCAGAUCACCUGUGAAGUCACCCAUGGGGACCUCGAUGAGCCCCUAAAAAUGACAAUCAAUCUCUCUCAAGUGCUCGUAGUUAUCCCCACACUGAAGAUCACCUCAGAGCCCCCGGAGAUCCCUGAUCAUGCUCAUCAAAGAGUGAACCUGACUUGCCAUGUAAACCACUUCUACCCCCAAAAUGUGCAACUCACCUGGACUAAGAAUAAGAACAAGAUCCUGACUCCUGAUAUCUCUCAGGCCACCAGAAACUCUGAUGGGACAUACUCUCUAAAGCACACAUUGCAGGAAGAUGCCAAAUCAAAUGAGAGCACCUUUAGCUGCUGGGUGUUCCAGUAUGACCAGCCUCCACUGUGGAUCAACAUCACCCUGAGAGCUCAGGCCUCCCAUAAGCACAAAGGAAAGAAAGACUACUCUAAUCACCUUGAAGGCCCCCUGCAUCGGUCUUCAGCUGGCACAAGCAUCCAACUGAAGUAUGCCUCCUCUGAGUUACCAACAAAUCAAAUUACUGUGACCUGGCUCAAAAACCACCAUAGUUCUCUCCAGACCCACACCAAUGUCUUCUCCAGUGGCAAUACCUACAAUGUGACUAGCAGUGUGCUUGUCCCCCUGGAGAGUGAUGACAUAUUAUCUUCAGUUCUCUGUCGGGUUGAGCACAACUUAUCAGUGAUUUUCCAGAAGGUCAUCAACUUGGAUCAGUACCUCCGUGUUCCUCCUACAGUGAGAGUGUCCCAGUCCUCAACUGUCUCCAGUGUGGUUGCUACUUGCCAUGUGGAGAGAUUCUAUCCACAGGAUGUGUAUCUCACCUGGCUAGAGGAUUGCCAUGUGCUCAAGAGAUUGGAGCAGCCUACACCAAGGAAAAAUGAGGAUGGGUCCUACACUCUGGAAAUUUCAAAGCCAAUAAACACAUCAGUGCAGAGGCCUGAUCGAGUACUCACUUGCAAGGUAGAACAUGAGGCCCAGCCUCCCAUCCAGGCCAGCAUUAUAUUGUCUACAGCAUCCUAUGUCACAUCCAAAGCCAUUGGGAUCCUAAGUUCAGAGAAAUAUAUCCAUAUUUUUGUGGCUUCGCUCCUGUGCCUCAAGGGACUUCUGGUGCUGAUUGAGCUCCAAUGGAGACAAGAUGCAAGGACCUGUUGGUGA